rnacentral:rRNA from 1 species
UACGGAGGGUGCAAGCGUUAUCCGGAUUCACUGGGUUUAAAGGGUGCGUAGGUGGGUUGAUAAGUCAGUGGUGAAAUCUCCGAGCUUAACUUGGAAACUGCCAUUGAUACUAUUAGUCUUGAAUACCGUGGAGGUUAGUGGAAUAUGUCAUGUAGCGGUGAAAUGCUUAGAUAUGACAUAGAACACCCAUUGCGAAGGCAGCUGACUACACGGUGAUUGACACUGAGGCACGAAAGCGUGGGGAGCGAACAGG